CAAUAGCGUAUAUUAAAGUUGUUGCAGUUAAAAAGCUCGUAGUUGGAUUUCUGGCAGGAGCGUCCGGUCUCACACUCAGUGCGGGAACUUGGAUGUCUCUGGCCAUCUUUGGGGAUAUCCUGUUUGGCAUUAAGUUGUCGGGCAGGGGAUACCCAUCGUUUACUGUGAAAAAAUUAGAGUGUUUAAAGCAGGCUUAUGCCGUUGAAUAUAUUAGCAUGGAAUAAUAAGAUAGGACGUAGGUACUAUUUUGUUGGUUUGCGCACCCACGUAAUGAUUAAUAGAGACAGGCGGGGCUAUUCGUAUUGCAUUGUCAGAGGUGAAAUUCUUGGAUUUCUGCAAGACGAACUACUGCGAAAGCAUUUGCCAAGGAUGUUUUCAUUAA
rnacentral:rRNA from 1 species